AUUACUUCCUGGGUUGGCCACUAAUAAUUCUGGAGUGUUUACAACAGCAACUUAUGGGAUACCCGAGUGUCCUCCAUUAAAUAUUUGACAUUUUACCCUAGCAACUAAUGGUACCCAAGUCAGAAAGAGCAAAUUUUCUGGAGUAUAAGGAUGAAGAUAGAAGGUUACAGCCAGUGGCCAUCCACAUUAGAUAGUCUGUGGACCAGAGACCUCUCUUCUAGGACUUCAGUUUUUGAUUUGAAACACUGUUGCUCAAGAACCUUCCUUUUCAUUCUGACCGAAGAAUUAUAUAUAAUCAUUAUUUAUUGCAUUCAGCUGGGUUGAGUACGUUGCCCUGACCAGUCAGAGGACAAUGAAGUAAUAACUUCAUUACUUAUUUUGAGAGAAGACCAUCAAGGAGUUUCAUCAAAAUGUUGUCAAGAGGAUUGCCACCAGUCCCAGUUUUCUCCGAACCACCAUGAGGCUCUCAGAAUUUUAAACAUAUUUUUCCCCCCUCGGAACCAAACGUCACUGCUUCCUUGGAAAAACGUCCCAUGUAAACACUGUGGUUUCACUGUCAUGAGCUGCACUUGGGAAGCUGGGUGAGCUGUGCCAGUUUUUUUUAACUGGUUGAGGAAUCCCAAUUUAACUGAUGGAAUUAGGAUAUAGGUUUUCUGCAGUUGUUUCUAAUGUACAAGAUGCUGACUUUGAUGGAAUUUGCAUUUGUAUAUUUGUAAUCUUAUAACAGAGAAAAUGUAUAUAAAGAUGUUUUAAUAUGUAUGUAGUUUUUCAAUAAAUCCAGUGCCUGGAGGGCACGAUUUGGUGUCCAG
rnacentral:lncRNA from 1 species